GACGAACGCUGGCGGCGUGCCUAACACAUGCAAGUCGAGCGAAGAACUUCGGUUCUUAGCGGCGGACGGGUGAGUAACACGUGGGUAACCUGCCUCAAAGAGGGGGAUAGCCUCCCGAAAGGGAGAUUAAUACCGCAUAACAUUAGAUCUUCGCAUGGAGAUUUAAUUAAAGGAGUCCUUUCGUAAGAAAGGCAUCCGCUUUGAGAUGGACCCGCGGCGCAUUAGCUAGUUGGUGAGGUAACGGCUCACCAAGGCGACGAUGCGUAGCCGACCUGAGAGGGUGAUCGGCCACAUUGGAACUGAGACACGGUCCAGACUCCUACGGGAGGCAGCAGUGGGGAAUAUUGCACAAUGGGCGAAAGCCUGAUGCAGCAACGCCGCGUGAGUGAUGAAGGCCUUCGGGUUGUAAAACUCUGUCUUCUGGGACGAUAAUGACGGUACCAGAGGAGGAAGCCACGGCUAACUACGUGCCAGCCGCCGCGGUAAUAC
rnacentral:rRNA from 1 species